rnacentral:rRNA from 1 species
GGGGAAUCUUCCGCAAUGGACGAAAGUCUGACGGAGCAACGCCGCGUGAGUGAUGACGGCCUUCGGGUUGUAAAGCUCUGUUAAUCGGGACGAAAGGCCUUCUUGCGAACAGUUAGAAGGAUUGACGGUACCGGAAUAGAAAGCCACGGCUAACUACGUGCCAGCAGCCGCGGUAAUACGUAGGUGGCAAGCGUUGUCCGGGAUUAUUGGGCGUAAAGCGCGCGCAGGCGGAUCAGUCAGUCUGUCUUAAAAGUUCGGGGCUUAACCCCGUGAUGGGAUGGAAACUGCUGAUCUAGAGUAUCGGAGAGGAAAGUGGAAUUCCUAGUGUAGCGGUGAAAUGCGUAGAUAUUAGGAAGAACACCAGUGGCGAAAGCGGCUUUCUGGACGAAAACUGACGCUGAGGCGCGAAAGCCAGGGGAGCGAACGGGAUUAGAUACCCCGGUAGUCCUGGCCGUAAACGAUGGGUACUAGGUGUAGGAGGUAUCGACCCCUUCUGUGCCGGAGUUAACGCAAUAAGUACCCCGCCUGGGGAGUACGGCCGCAAGGUUG